rnacentral:rRNA from 1 species
CGAGGGUGACGAGGUGGUGCAUGGUUGUCGUCAGCUCGUGUCGUGAGAUGUUGGGUUAAGUCCCGCAACGAGCGCAACCCUCGACCUUAGUUGCCAGCAUUCAGUUGGGCACUCUAAGGUGACUGCCGGCUAAAAGUCGGAGGAAGGUGGGGAUGACGUCAAAUCAUCAUGCCCCUUAUGACCUGGGCUACACACGUGCUACAAUGGGCGGUACAAAGGGUCGCGAACCCGCGAGGGGAGCCAAUACCCAAAAAGCCGCUCUCAGUUCGGAUUGCAGGCUGCAACUCGCCUGCAUGAAGCCGGAAUCGCUAGUAAUCGCGGAUCAGCAUGCCGCGGUCGAAUACGUUCCCGGGCCUU